CUGGCGGCGUGCUUAACACAUGCAAGUCGAACGAGAACGGAUUAUAGCUUGCUAUAAUUGUCAGCUAAGUGGCGCACGGGUGAGUAAUGUAUAGGUAAUAUGCCUCUUACUAAGGGAUAACAAAUGGAAACGUUUGCUAAUACCUUAUACUCCUUAUUAACAGAAGUUAAUAAGGGAAACGCUUUAGUGCUAGAGGAUGGGUCUGUAUGGUAUCAGUUAGUUGGUGAGGUAAUGGCUCACCAAGACUAUGACACAUAACUGGUUUGAGAGGAUGAUCAGUCACACUGGAACUGAGACACGGUCCAGACUCCUACGGGAGGCAGCAGUGGGGAAUAUUGCACAAUGGACGAAAGUCUGAUGCAGCAACGCCGCGUGGAGGAUGACACAUUUCGGUGCGUAAACUCCUUUAUAUGAGAAGAUAAUGACGGUAUUAUAUGAAUAAGCACCGGCUAACUCCGUG
rnacentral:rRNA from 1 species